GACGAACGCUGGCGGCGUGCUUAACACAUGCAAGUCGAACGGAAAGGCCCUGCUUUUGUGGGGUGCUCGAGGGGCGAACGGGUGAGUAACACGUGAGUAACCUGCCCUUGACUUUGGGAUAACUUCAGGAAACUGGGGCUAAUACCGGAUAGGAGCUCCUGCUGCAUGGUGGGGGUUGGAAAGUUUCGGCGGUUGGGGAUGGACUCGCGGCUUAUCAGCUUGUUGGUGGGGUAGUGGCUUACCAAGGCUUUGACGGGUAGCCGGCCUGAGAGGGUGACCGGCCACAUUGGGCCUGCGAUACGGCCCAGACUCCUACGGGAGGCAGCAGUGGGGAAUAUUGCACAAUGGGCGGGAGCCUGAUGCAGCAACGCCGCGUGCGGGAUGACGGCCUUCGGGUUGUAAACCGCUUUCGCCUGUGACGAAGCGUGAGUGACGGUAAUGGAUAAAGAAGCACCGGCUAACUACGUG
rnacentral:rRNA from 1 species